rnacentral:rRNA from 1 species
AGAGUUUGAUCCUGGCUCAGGAUGAACGCUAGCGGGAGGCUUAACACAUGCAAGUCGAGGGGCAGCACGGGUAGCAAUACCUGGUGGCGACCGGCAGACGGGUGAGUAACGCGUAUGUAACCUACCCUGUACAGGGGGAUAACCCGGAGAAAUUCGGACUAAUAUCCCAUAGAAAUAUUGGAAGGCAUCUUUUGAUAUUUAAAGUUCCGGCGGUACGGGAUGGGCAUGCGUAACAUUAGCUAGUUGGCAGGGUAACGGCCUACCAAGGCUACGAUGUUUAGGGGACCUGAGAGGGUGAUCCCCCACACUGGUACUGAGACACGGACCUGACUCCUACGGGAGGCAGCAGUGAGGAAUAUUGGUCAAUGGGCGCAAGCCUGAACCAGCCAUCCCGCGUGCAGGAAGAAGGCGCUAUGCGUCGUAAACUGCUUUUCCAGGGGGCGAACAUCCCGCACGAGUGCGGGACUGACGGUACCUUGGGAAUAAGCAUCGGCUAACUCCGUGCCAGCAGCCGCGGUAAUA